rnacentral:rRNA from 1 species
CAGCAGCCGCGGGAAUACAGAGGAUGCAAGCGUUAUCCGGAAUGAUUGGGCGUAAAGCGUCUGUAGGUGGCUUUUCAAGUCCGCCGUCAAAUCCCAGGGCUCAACCCUGGACAGGCGGUGGAAACUACCAAGCUGGAGUACGGUAGGGGCAGAGGGAAUUUCCGGUGGAGCGGUAAAAUGCGUUGAGAUCGGAAAGAGCACCAACGGCGAAAGCACUCUGCUGGGCCGACACUGACACUGAGAGACGAAAGCUAGGGGAGCAAAUGGGAUUAGAUACCCCCGUAGUCCCUGUCUCUUAUAC